GUUUGUAGGUCCAUAGGCCUUAUAAAGCAAUAAGAUGCAUUUUGGAGCAGUUUUGGGCUUGAAAUGGAUAGCAUAUGCAUGGAGCAAGGUGGAUGAACGAAAUUGAAGACUAAAGAGGCUAGGAAUGUGUUAAAGAGAAAGAAUAAUUAAUGUAAAAAGGACAAAGAGCUCAGCCACAAAGGGGUGUCACUCCACCAUUCACCUUUCCAUCAUUGUUGUGUACCAUCAUUGCACUCCCUUUGGAUUCCUAUGCCGUGCAUCAUCAUCCAUGUUCCCUCCAUUGACUCAUUUGUUGCAUCAUUCCACUUCCUUUCCUUUGUCUACCAUGUGCACAAUAUCCUUUCACCUCCUUGCACUCAUUGAUUCACCACUUACUCACUUUCCCACCCAUGCCAUGCAUAAUCACCCUUGUCCCCUACAUGCACCAUUACACUCAUUAUCCACCCAUGCCGUGCAUCAUGAGUCUUGCUGUACCUUUGACUAAUUUCUGCACCAUUCCACCUCCCUUUCCUUUCUCUACCAUGUGCACAAUCAUUCAUGUUCCCUAGUUGCAACACCACUCCAUUUUACCCCCUAUGCUUUGCAUCAUUACUUCACUUUCACCUUUGAAUUAUUUCAAACACCACUCAAUGCAAUCAUUGCUGUAACACAACUCCAUUUUACCCCCCAUGCUUUGCAUCAUUACUUCAUUUUCACCCUUGAAUCAUUGCACACACCACCAAUUUCCCUCCAUUGCCGUGCACUUCCUCUAUAAAAAGAAGUGUGUGUGGCAGCCAUAUAGUUGAGUUUUUGCUUGAUCAUUCAUCCCCAUAUCAAUACAACCUUCACCCAAACAUCCAUUCAUCUUUACAUCCAUUCCUCCAUAUAAACAAACCUUCAAACACUCACCAACACCUUGUGCCGUAGCAAAGGAAGGGAAAGAAAGUGCUCGGACGUGCUUGCUGUCCAACUUGGAUCGUUAGAGCAUUUAGGUCUUUUCUUUCUUUUGUUUCUAAUGUUUAAAUUCAUUUCCUUUCAUUUUGUUGUAAAUAUGAGUGGCUAAACCCCUCUUGGCUAGGGGUGAUUUCAAAGCCAUGAUUAUGUGUGCAAUAUAAUUUGAUAAAUUCCAGUUAUGAACUCUUGAAUCGUGAAUGCAAUUGGCUUAACUAUUUGAUUGAUAACUUAUUUGUAUUUGUUAAUUAAGGGUCGACACUUAAUUGCCAUGCAUAAAUCCGUUGCUAGAAUAUAAGGAAGUUUCACAUAAUCGUUACAAACUUAUAUUCACAUGUAGUGAAGGUCGCUUAUAAACGAUCGCGUUAAGUUCAAUUCCUAACAUAAGCGACAUGAUGUCAUAGUUGCAAGUACUUUGUCAAUGCUUAUGAUUUUCAUUAAACGCAAUGAUCUUUGAUUGUAUCUUUAUUAUGAUGUCAUGUAGGGAACUUUUGAAGAAUGUUUUGGGUUGUCGAAUGAUGUCAUCCAAUCCAAUAAAACAAGGAAAAUCUGAGAGUUAACUAGUGAUGUCACGGUUAAUUUGGAGCGUUGUCGUUCAUAAUUCAAUGAAGUAGUAACUAGAAAUCAAGUUAUUUGCAUACAUGUCAUGUGUGGAUAAAAAGCCUCUAGCUAUUCCAUCCAUCAUCUUAUUUCUCAAAUUUGUUUUACAAUCUGUCUAGUUUUUCAUAUUUGUUUGUUUGUUUCAUCUUAAUCCCAAUCAAAACCCCCCUUUUAGUUUCUUGUUUCAAAGUGUUUCAAAUUUGUUUUAGUUUGUGUUUUUAAGUGUUUUGAUUCAAGUAAAAGUCAAUUUUAGUUCAAAGUCAUUCCUAGUGUCUAGUUUAAGUUUAUUUGGUGGUUUUAAGCUGUUUUGAGUAUUUUAAGUUUGCUUUGAGUCUUGUGAGUCUUGUUAAGUGUUUUUAAGUUUAGUUUUAUGUUUUCGAGUCAAUUUAGAGGUUAUUAGCAUGCCAUCCUAAUCCCCGGUUCAGAACGAUCCCUACUUAUACUUGUACUACAAUUGUCAAAAGAGGGUUAAAUUUGUGUGUUAAGUUAACUUUCGCAUCAUCCUCCACCACAAACCCAGCAACCCCCCUCUAUUAAUCUCCCAUCUCUCUUCUCUAGUGAGACCAACCCAAUCCCUUACUUCCCCAGCGAGCCCACUCCCAACCCUUCUCUUCUUCGGCAAGAUCAUCACUAAUAUCUUCUUUUUCCAGUGACUCCACUCCACCCAUCUCCUCUUUGACGACCUCAAUAACCCCAACGCCUCUAUUCACAGGCUAGCCCACCUUGAAUCCUCUCUUUUAUGGUGACCUUACUCCAGUACACUUCGACAUCAAUCGCACUCUAUUCCUCGUUGACAGCGAUGAGUUGGUUACUAAAAAUCCCCACUUCAUUCCUCAUUGACUACGACGAGUUGGUUAUUCAGAAACCCUACUUUAUUCCUCUUAGCCGGUUGAAUUCAUCGGUUUAAUAUGGGUGUUACGAAGGAAGGUCAACAGAGGCGAGAAAUGGGGGUGGGUUGGUUGGGUCGACCAGGAAAUCAUCAGAUUAGAAGGGUGAUGGCGUUGGAUCGGUGUGUUCAACGUCAGUUUGGGUAAGUUAGUCAUUUAAUCUUUUGGUUCCAUUUGCCAUGCACAUCCGAACACAAAAUGAAAUAACCAUUCCGUUCCAUCAUGCGUGUACCAAACAUAACACAGAAUCUCUGUUCCAUCCUAUUUUAUUCAAUUCUAUUUCAUCUCGUUCUGUCCCGUUUAUGUACCAAACGGCACUGUAAGGAACCAACCCUUGUGAAUUGAGAUUGUGAAGAAAGUCUUUAAGAACUUGGGCCUAGCCCAAAUUCUCCACUUGAAACCAAUUAAUCUUGCAUCUAUAAUGCCUUGGUGCCAUUUGAUUAAAAUCAGACUGGUGAUAAUUAAGCAAAGGAAACUAUACAAGAAAGUUGAAAAUGUUGCAGUCCUAUUAGAUUAGGAAUGUGAUUGUGUAAAUCCUAGUAUAUCUUGGAAUAUCUCUUAUAUUCCUAUUAGGAGUAUAUUACCUAUUAAAUGUUGUAAUUCUAAAGGGUAAGGAAUUAACCUUCCCUACUACUAUAAAUAAAGGCACAAUGGGGUGGAAUAGAACACACCCACAAUUACACAUCUCUCUCUUUCCCUCUAUCUAUGCCGCACCCCUCUCUCUCUUUGGCCUUCAUAAUUGUUCAGUAAAUUAUGCCUACAACACGUUAUCAGCAUGCUCUUAACGCUAUGCUAAAGAGAGUUUAUUCUUCAAUCAGGGGAGUAUUACGUUUUAAUCAUUCUUUUAUGAUUAAUUUAUUAAUUUAUUGGAUUGAUAUACAUCCUAUUGAUUCAAUUUAAUUUUUCUAUGUUGAACGUGAUACAACGCAUUGGAGAUGCAAUUCCGGCUUUCCGAGAAGAAUCUUUUACAAAUUUAAAGGCUUUUGUUGUUUUCUGCCAAUCAGGUACGCUUAAAAUAAAAUAAGAUAUUUGAAACGACCUUGAAGCAUGAAAACAUUCCCCAUGAUGCAUGAACCCCCCUAUGUUUAUAUUUUCCUUCCGAUAUAUAUAUAUAUAUAUAUAUAUAUAUUGUAUAU
rnacentral:lncRNA from 1 species